rnacentral:tRNA from 1 species
CCCUGGUAGUUCUGAUGGUAAAGAAUCUGCCUGCAAUGCAGGAGCCCCAGGUUCCAUCCCUGGGUCAGGAA